AGUACAUGUUGCGCAGUGAGUUUUCAAAAAUAAGUUCUCACAUUAUUUAUUGCUUGGUUGUUUAUCAUUUGCUAUUUUGGGAAGAACACAAGUUCUCUAUAGAAAAUAAAAUAUUUCACUUGAUUGUUUUUUUUUGUUCUCUCAGGACACAUUCUGUAUCAUGUACGUUCACUUCAUGGGUGUCGAUAAUAAUGAGCAGAAGCCUCCAAGAGUGUUGGUAAAUCCCAGCAGGGGCCAGCCAAGGUGUUGUAACAAGAAUGAGCGCCAAAAUCACGUAAGUCCUUAAAUUGUGCCUUAAGGUUUCAAGUCUUAUAUAGUGACCAGAAAGUUUUCUUUCAUUAGUAUACAUUGUUAAAAGACUUUGAUUAAUAUACAGUGUACAGAGGCUUUCAUUUGCAUGUAGUUUUAAAAGGCUUUAAUUUGUACACAGUGUAUAACAACUUUCAUUUGUAUGGCAUGUCAAAAGACUUCAGUUCUUACAGUGUCCAAAGCUUCCAUUUAAAUAGUAUCUACAGGCUUUAAUUUUACUAGUCAGUCAGAAAAUCCAAAAGAUUUUGUUCUCAUACAGUAUGCAAAAGCUUUGAUUUACAUACACCUCCCUAUAAAUAGAGCUUAAUGAUAUGGCAAUCGGCGAUCCCUGGCGACCAAUUUUGGCAAAUUGGCCCAAGAUGCUACUGCUGGCCCACCAGUAACCAUGACACCAGCACCAUGCCAGAUGCGGUGAUGAGGCUCGUCUUAUGGCUCGCUGCGCUUGAAA